GAUGAACGCUGGCGGCGUGCCUAAUACAUGCCAGUCGAGCGAACGGACGAGAAGCUUGCUUCUCUGAUGUUAGCGGCGGACGGGUGAGUAACACGUGGAUAACCUACCUAUAAGGCUGGGAUAACUUCGGGAAACCGUAGCUAAUACCGGAUAAUAUUUUGAACCGCAUGGUUCAAAAGUGAAAGACGGUCUUGCUGUCACUUAUAGAUGGAUCCGCGCUGCAUUAGCUAGUUGGUAAGGUAACGGCUUACCAAGGCAACGAUGCAUAGCCGACCUGAGAGGGUGAUCGGCCACACUGGAACUGAGACACGGUCCAGACUCCUACGGGAGGCAGCAGUAGGGAAUCUUCCGCAAUGGGCGAAAGCCUGACGGAGCAACGCCGCGUGAGUGAUGAAGGUCUUCGGAUCGUAAAACUCUGUUAUUAGGGAAGAACAUAUGUGUAAGUAACUGUGCACAUCUUGACGGUACCUAAUCAGAAAGCCACGGCUAACUACGUG
rnacentral:rRNA from 1 species